rnacentral:rRNA from 1 species
CACGGGGGGCUGCAGUGAGGAAUAUUGGUCAAUGGGCGCGAGCCUGAACCAGCCAAGUCGCGUGAGGGAAGACGGUCCUAUGGAUUGUAAACCUCUUUUGUCGGGGAGCAAAAGACGCCACGCGUGGCGUUCCGAGAGUACCCGAAGAAAAAGCAUCGGCUAACUCCGUGCCAGCAGCCGCGGUAAUACGGAGGAUGCGAGCGUUAUCCGGAUUUAUUGGGUUUAAAGGGAGCGUAGGCCGGCUUUUAAGUCAGCUGUGAAAGUCCGCGGCUCAACCGUGGAAUUGCAGUUGAAACUGGAGGCCUUGAGUGCACACAGGGAUGCCGGAAUUCAUGGUGUAGCGGUGAAAUGCUUAGAGAUCACGCAGAACUCCGAUUGCGAAGGCAGCAUACCGGCGCUCAACUGACGCUCAUGCACGAAAGUGUGGGUAUCGAACAGGAUUAGAUACCCGUGUAGUC